GUCCACUGGGGAGAGAGUCACAGAGUCAGUGCUGGGGGCAGGGGCUGGUCACUGGGAUCAAAGGGAAAUUAACCUGUGGAUGGAGGGGGAGU